rnacentral:tRNA from 1 species
CGAAGUGUAGCUUAAAUAAAGCAUUUCGCUUACACCGAAAAAAUAUCUGUGAAACCCAGAUCCCUUCGAG